rnacentral:rRNA from 1 species
GAUGAACGCUGGCGGCGUGCCUAAUACAUGCAAGUCGAGCGAACAGACGAGGAUCUUGCUCCUCUGACGUUAGCGGCGGACGGGUGAGUAACACGUGGAUAACCUACCUAUAAGACUGGGAUAACUUCGGGAAACCGGAGCUAAUACCGGAUAAUAUAUUGAACCGCAUGGUUCAAUAGUGAAAGACGGUUUUGCUGUCACUUAUAGAUGGAUCCGCGCCGCAUUAGCUAGUUGGUAAGGUAACGGCUUACCAAGGCAACGAUGCGUAGCCGACCUGAGAGAUGGAUCGGCCACACUGGAAGUGGGACACGGUCCAGACUGCUACGGGAGGCCGCAGUAGGGAAUCUUCCGCAAUGGGAGAAAGCUUGACGGAGCAACGCCGCGUGGGUUAUGAAGGUCUUCGGAUCGUAAAGCUCUGUUAUUAGGGAAGAACAAAUUUGUAAGUAACUAUGCACGUCUUGACGGUACCUAAUCAGAAAGCCACGGCUAACUACGUG